rnacentral:rRNA from 1 species
AACGUACGCUGGCGGCAUGCCUAACACAUGCAAGUCGAACGAGACCUUUGGGUCUAGUGGCGCACGGGUGCGUAACGCGUGGGAAUCUGCCCUUGGGUUCGGAAUAACAGUGAGAAAUUGCUGCUAAUACCGGAUGAUGUCUUCGGACCAAAGAUUUAUCGCCCAGGGAUGAGCCCGCGUAGGAUUAGCUAGUUGGUGGGGUAAUGGCCUACCAAGGCGACGAUCCUUAGCUGGUCUGAGAGGAUGAUCAGCCACACUGGGACUGAGACACGGCCCAGACUCCUACGGGAAGCAGCAGUGGGGAAUAUUGGACAAUGGGCGCAAGCCUGAUCCAGCAAUGCCGCGUGAGUGAUGAAGGCCUUAGGGUUGUAAAGCUCUUUUACCAGGGAUGAUAAUGACAGUACCUGGAGAAUAAGCUCCGGCUAACUCCGUG